rnacentral:rRNA from 1 species
GCUCAACCGAGGAAGUGCUUCGAAAACUGGUAAACUUGAGUGCAGAAGAGGAAAGUGGAACUCCAUGUGUAGCGGUGGAAUGCGUAGAUAUAUGGAAGAACACCAGUGGCGAAGGCGGCUUUCUGGUCUGUAACUGACGCUGAGAUUCGAAAGCAUGGGUAGCAAACAGGAUUAGAUACCCUGGUAGUCCAUGCCGUAAACGAUGAGUGCUAAGUGUUGGAGGGUUUCCGCCCUUCAGUGCUGCAGCUAACGCAUUAAGCACUCCGCCUGGGGAGCACGAUCGCAAGAUUGAAACUCAAAGGAAUUGACGGGGGCCCGCACAAGCGGUGGAGCAUGUGGUUUAAUUCGAAGCAACGCGAAGAACCUUACCAGGUCUUGACAUACCAUGAGAAGCUAAGAGAUUAGUCUUUCCCUUCGGGGACAUGGAUACAGGUGGUGCAUGGUUGUCGUCAGCUCGUGUCGUGAGAUGUUGGGUUAAGUCCCGCAACGAGCGCAACCCUUAUUAUCAGUUGCCAGCAUUCAGUUGGGCACUCUGGUGAGACUGCCGGUGACAAACCGGAGGAAGGUGGGGACGACGUCAAAUCAUCAUGCCCCUUAUGACCUGGGCUACACACGUGCUACAAUGGUCGGUACAACG